rnacentral:rRNA from 1 species
GACGUAGGGCGCGAGCGUUGUCCGGAUUUAUUGGGCGUAAAGAGCUCGUAGGCGGCUUGUCGCGUCGUCCGUGAAAACCUGGGGCUCAACCCCAGGCUUGCGGUCGAUACGGGCAGGCUAGAGUUCGGUAGGGGAGACUGGAAUUCCUGGUGUAGCGGUGAAAUGCGCAGAUAUCAGGAGGAACACCGGUGGCGAAGGCGGGUCUCUGGGCCGAUACUGACGCUGAGGAGCGAAAGCGUGGGGAGCAAACAGG